GUGGGGAAUAUUGCACAAUGGGCGAAAGCCUGAUGCAGCAACGCCGCGUGGAGGAAGACGGCUCUAGGGUUGUAAACUCCUUUCAGUAGGGACGAAAAUGACGGUACCUACAGAAGAAGCGCCGGCCAACUACGUGCCAGCAGCCGCGGUAAUACGUAGGGCGCAAGCGUUAUCCGGAUUUAUUGGGCGUAAAGAGCUCGUAGGCUGUUUCAUAAGUCAGGUGUAAAAACUCUGGGCUCAACCCAGAGAGGCCACUUGAAACUAUGAUGACUAGAGUCCGGUAGGGGAGCAGGGAAUUCCUGGUGUAGCGGUGAAAUGCGCAGAUAUCAGGAGGAACACCAAUGGCGAAGGCACUGCUCUGGGCCGGUACUGACGCUGAGGAGCGAAAGCGUGGGGAGCAAACAGG
rnacentral:rRNA from 1 species